GGACUACUGGGGUAUCUAAUCCUGUUUGCUCCCCACGCUUUCGUGCAUGAGCGUCAGUGUUGGCCCAGGGGGCUGCCUUCGCCAUCGGUAUUCCUCCACAUCUCUACGCAUUUCACUGCUACACGUGGAAUUCUACCCCCCUCUGCCACACUCAAAGCCUGCCAGUCACCAAUGCAGUUCCCAGGUUAAGCCCGGGGAUUUCACAUCGGUCUUAACAGACCGCCUGCGCACGCUUUACGCCCAGUAAUUCCGAUUAACGCUCGCACCCUACGUAUUACCGCGGCUGCUGGCAC
rnacentral:rRNA from 2 species